AUGAGCGCCGCCAGGUCCUCCUUCUUCGCGUCCCACAACGGGAAGAAGAAGCCCGCCGCAUCCGCCGCCCGGAACCCCUUCGACUCCGACUCGGACGACGACGGCGGCAUGGUCCAGCGGCGGGGCCCGGCGCGGGCCUCCUCCGUCCCGACCCCCGCCGCCCCGCCCGCCAGGGCCUCCCCCGCGCCGGUCCCUUCCGACGAGCGGAACUCCCUCUUCGCCGGGAGCGCCGCUCCGGGCCCCGCGUCCUCCUCCUCCUCCUCGUCGGCGGCGGCGGCCAGGAGGCGGUACGGGAGCGACUUCCGGGACUCGGGGGGCGUGGAGGCGCAGUCGGUGCAGGAGCUGGAGGGCUACGCGGCGUACAAGGCCGAGGAGACCACGCGCCGGGUCGACGGCUGCCUCCGGGUCGCCGAGGAGAUGCGGGACACCGCCUCCAAGACCCUCCUCCAGGUGCACCAGCAGGGCCAGCAGAUCCGGCGCACCCACGCCAUGGCCCUCGACAUCGACCAGGAUCUCUCCAGGGGGGAAAAGCUACUAGGGGAUCUUGGGGGUUUGUUUUCCAAGAAGUGGAAGCCAAAGAAGAAUGGCGCAAUCAGGGGCCCUAUGCUGACCAGAGAUGAUUCCUUCAUACGCAAGGGCAGCCAUAUGGAGCAGAGGCAUAAACUAGGGCUGUCAGACCGUCCGCGUCGAUCCAAUGCACGCCAAUUCCUGUCCGAACCCACAUCAGAGCUUGAGAAAGUCGAGGUGGAGAAGGCAAAGCAGGAUGAUGGCCUAUCUGAUCUUAGCGACAUACUGACCGAGUUGAAAGGAAUGGCCAUUGACAUGGGAACUGAGAUUGAGGGGCAAACAAAGGAUCUGGGUCAUGCAGAGAAGGACUUCGACGAACUUAACUACAGGGUCAAGGGGGCGAACACUCGAACCCGUCGUCUGCUUGGGAGAUAG
rnacentral:rRNA from 1 species